CUCGUAUACCACGGGUAUGCAAUCAGCACAGGGACUGGCUUGCAGCAAGGGCUCAAGAAGACGUCAAUGAAUACUAGCAGAAUGGGAGAUUCCUUGAAACUUGGGACCAGAUUCUGAGAACCAUAUUAUCUAAAUCUCAAAGAAGGAACCAUAAAGAGGAAUAUGCAAAGAAAGUCUGGUUAGAAUGUUAAAACAAAAGAUGAUCCCUGAAGACCCAGUAGCAAUUGCCUCCAUUUCCCAGGUAACCUCAGAUCUGGCAAGGCAGGGACAGG